GUUGUGUUAGCAAAGAGUGCAGCUGACUUAGAAUCAGAAGAUGUGUAUAGUGUUAGAUACACACACAACA
rnacentral:tRNA from 1 species